AUAAGCGGCAUGGUCUUGGAAGUGCUUACCCAUCUUUCUAUCAAUUAUUAAAAGAAAACUAAAACCCUAGAUUGAAGUUGUAAAGUUGUUUCUCUUUGGAAAUUCUUUAAGGUUACACACACAUCAGUAAGAAAUUUUCUCUAUGUCUGGCAAUGAUUCUAGUAGUAGUAGUAGUAGUAUAGUUAUUACUAUUAUGGUUAUUUAAAAUUAUGUGUAUAUGUGUCUGUGCCUAUAAGUGCAGUGCUCCUGAAGACCAGAGCCCUAACACCCCCUCUCAUGGAGUUCUGUUUGUGUGGGCAACAUGGACAUGUGUCUGUGUGGGAGUAUGUGCACAUGAGUGCAGUAACCAUGGAGACUAGAAGAGGGUAGUGGAUCCUCUUAAGUUGGUGUUACAUAGGCAGUAGUGAGCUACCUAAUAUGGUUGGUGGGAACUGAACUCGGGCACUCUGGAAGAGCAACAAGUACUCUUAACCCCUGAGCCAUCAUCUCUCCAGACCUGAAAGUGAUUCUUGUCUGAAAUCUACUCUGCUCUAUAUGCAACCACCUGGAGUUUCCUGUGAUGAAUGUGUGCCUGUGUAGCAUGGAGUUCCAUUUUUAAGGACCACCCCUCCCAUCCAGAAAGGCUUACAUAUAUAUUGUAUAUGUAUGUAUGUAUGUGUGUGUGGUAAAUUUCUUGAAAACAUCAUAUAGUUGGCUUUGUCUUUUAACCCAUUUUGAGGGUUUUUGACUUUUAGAGAGAAGAUUAAUUCAAUUAUAGUUAAUCGGAUUAUUCAUAGUGGGAUAGGUUUUUAGAGGUAUUUCUUUUUAAACAAGUCCUCACACCCAUGGUUUGCCUCAAACUUGCCAUGCAGCAAUGGAUGACCUUGAACUUAACUUUCUUGCCUCUGCCUCCUUAGUGCUGAGAUUAUAGGUGCAGACCACCACAACCACAUGCGGCUUUUGUUGUGCUCUGGAUUGAACCCAGGGCUUUUCUCAUACCCAGCAAGCACCCUACCCAGUGAGCCACAUCAAGCCUCACGGGGGGCACUAAAUUCAUUACUCUGUUUAUUUUCUUACAUUUUUUCUGUUCUUUUUUUCUAUUGAAUACCAUUGGGGUUGGUCCACUGCAUUCUCUGACCUUAUUGUUGUAUUCUAGUGGCUUUGGGCACCUUUAACAUCCAAGGGAUGGGAAGGAAGGUGGCAUCACAGAAAGGCCACAUGGAGCUCUGUUGAACCUUAGUGAUUUUAUCAUUGUUAUAUCAGUUCUCUUUAAAUUAUGUAUCCAUCUAGCACAUAUUUUGAUUUUUUAAAAAUGAGGCUAUAAAUCUGAUUCCUACCCAGUUGUGUUUAUUACUUAAUUUUAGUGAUUGAAAAUAAUAUUUUGAUCAUGCACUAAGUCUUUACACAUAUUUGGGUGAGUUUGAAUGCUUCCAUUGGCUAUUGAUCUAUCCCCAUCACUGCUUAACAAGUUUAAUAUCUAAGAAUUCAAUGUUUUGUCUUGUCCCUGCAGAACCUUUCUGUGCUUCCUUGAGUAUGUUCCAUAGAUAUUUUAGAGUCUGAAAUAAAUCAUAGUGAAUGUGAGCAGGAUUGGGUUAGAAUUCCCUUGAGUUCAGAGAGGACGAAGAAACCUUGUGAAAUGUGGCCCUAUAUUUCAAUCUGUCCCCAAAGGCUGUGCCUCCCAGCCUGUCAUGCUGAACACUCUACACUGAUCAUCUUAUUGUCUGCAAUUAUCAUAUUUUCUUUGUGAGUUCCCUAAAUUGCAAUACUUUCAUUUC
rnacentral:lncRNA from 1 species